rnacentral:misc_RNA from 1 species
GAUGAAGAACGCAGCGAAAUGCGAUAACUAAUGUGAAUUGCAGAAUUCAGUGAAUCAUCGAGUCUUUGAACGCACAUUGCGCCCCCUGGUAUUCCGGGGGGCAUGCCUGUCCGAGCGUCAUUGCUGCCCUCAAGCACGGCUUGUGUGUUGGGCUCCGUCCCCCAGGGGACGGGCCCGAAAGGCAGCGGCGGCACCGAGUCCGGUCCUCGAGCGUAUGGGGCUUUGUCACCCGCUCUGUAGGCCCGGCCGGCGCCAGCCGACAACCCAUCAUCCUUUUCAGGUUGACCUCGGAUCAGGUAGGGAUACCCGCUGAACUUAAGCAUAUCAAUAAGCGGAGGA